AUGACGGGAUUGAAGAAUAGUUACUAUGUACUUCCAGGAGAACCUGAACCCAAGCGCACUGUGUCAACCACUAACAUCAUUGGGAAGGUAAUGUUCCUAACUAUUGUGGCCAGGCCUCGAAAUAACAAUGAGGGGGAGCUAACAUUCAAUGGAAAAGUCGGCAUUUGGGCAUUCAUCGAAGAGACUAAGGCGGUGUGAACCAGUAAGAACAGGGCAAAGGGAGCGAAAGUGCUGAAACCAGUGAGAGUAACUAGGCCCGUGUCAAGAGAUUAUCUCAUUAAUAAGGUUAUCACAGCAAUUCAAGAUAAGUGGCCUGACGAUGAUGAGGGAGUAACAAUAUUCAUCCAACAGGAUAACACAAAGCCCCAUGUCCUUCCCAGUGAUGUAGCUUUUUGA
rnacentral:rRNA from 1 species